rnacentral:rRNA from 1 species
UACGUAGGGUGCGAGCGUUAAUCGGAAUUACUGGGCGUAAAGCGUGCGCAGGCGGCGCGUUAAGACAGGUGUGAAAGCCCCGAGCUUAACUUGGGAAUUGCGCUUGUGACUGGCGUGCUGGAGUGUGGCAGAGGGAGGUGGAAUUCCACGUGCAGCAGUGAAAUGCGUAGAGAUGUGGAGGAACACCGAUGGCGAAGGCAGCCUCCUGGGCCAGCACUGACGCUCAUGCACGAAAGCGUGGGGAGCAAACAGG